rfam:Salmo salar isolate Sally breed double haploid chromosome ssa05, whole genome shotgun sequence.
UGGCUCGGUUGGUAGAGCAUGGUGUUUGCAACGCCAGCAUGGUGUGUGCAACACCAGGGUUGUGGGUUCGAUUCCCAC